rnacentral:rRNA from 1 species
AUUGAACGCUAGCGGGAUGCCUUACACAUGCAAGUCGAACGGCAGCACGGACUUCGGUCUGGUGGCGAGUGGCGAACGGGUGAGUAAUGUAUCGGAACGUGCCCAGUAGCGGGGGAUAACUACGCGAAAGCGCAGCUAAUACCGCAUACGCCCUACGGGGGAAAGCAGGGGAUCGCAAGACCUUGCACUAUUGGAGCGGCCGAUAUCGGAUUAGCUAGUGGGUGGGGUAACGGCUCACCAAGGCGACGAUCCGUAGCUGGUUUGAGAGGACGACCAGCCACACGGGGACUGAGACACGGCCCAGACUCCUACGGGAGGCAGCAGUGGGGAAUUUUGGACAAUGGGGGAAACCCUGAUCCAGCCAUCCCGCGUGUGCGAUGAAGGCCUUCGGGUUGUAAAGCACUUUUGGCAGGAUAGAAACGUCAUGGGUUAAUACCCCAUGAAACUGACGGUACCUGCAGAAUAAGCACCGGCUAACUACGUGCCAGCCGCCGCGGUAAGAC